rnacentral:rRNA from 1 species
UAAACUAGGAUUAGAUACCCUAUUAUUCUAAGAGAUUUUUGUAUUAAUAAUAUUAUUGUAUAAAAUUAAAAAAAUUGGCGGUUUCUUUUUAUAUUAGAGGAAUUUGUCUUAUAAGGGAUAAAACACCAUAAAAUUUACUUUAAUUAAAGUUUUUAUACCGCUGUUGUCAAAAUAUUUUUGAAUAAUAUAUUUUAAAUUUUUUUUAAAAAAAAAUUACUUCAAGUCCAGGUGGAACUAUAUUAUAGAAAUGAUGAAUUACAAUAAAAAUUUUUAUAACGGAAUAGAAAAAUUAAAUUUUUAUGAAGGAGGAUUUAAAAGUAAUUUUUUAUAAUAAAUUGAAUACAAAUCAGAGAAAUGUACAUAUCGCC